rnacentral:rRNA from 1 species
GAUGAACGCUGGCGGCGUGCCUAAUACAUGCAAGUCGAGCGAACGGACGAGAAGCUUGCUUCUCUGAUGUUAGCGGCGGACGGGUGAGUAACACGUGGAUAACCUACCUAUAAGACUGGGAUAACUUCGGGAAACCGGAGCUAAUACCGGAUGAUAUUUUGAACCGCAUGGUUCAAAAGUGAAAGACGGUCUUGCUGUCACUUAUAGAUGGAUCCGCGCUGCAUUAGCUAGUUGGUAAGGUAACGGCUUACCAAGGCAACGAUGAAUAGCCGACCUGACAGGGUGAUCGGCCACACUGGAACUGAGACACGGUCCAGACUCCUACGGGAGGCAGCAGUAGGGAAUCUUCCGCAAUGGGCGAAAGCCUGACGGAGCAACGCCGCGUGAGUGAUGAAGGUCUUCGGAUCGUAAAACUCUGUUAUUAGGGAAGAACAUAUGUGUAAGUAACUGUGCACAUCUUGACGGUACCUAAUCAGAAAGCCACGGCUAACUACGUG